CUUGACCGAGCCGAGGAGCAGGGGACGUUCGGCGGUGUGCCCCUUGCCGUACGCGGCGAGCAGCGCCUGGGCCUC
rnacentral:antisense_RNA from 3 species